rnacentral:rRNA from 1 species
AGUGAACGCUGGCGGUAGGCCUAACACAUGCAAGUCGAACGGCAGCACAGUAAGAGCUUGCUCUUACGGGUGGCGAGUGGCGGACGGGUGAGGAAUACAUCGGAAUCUACUUUUUCGUGGGGGAUAACGUAGGGAAACUUACGCUAAUACCGCAUACGACCUACGGGUGAAAGCAGGGGAUCUUCGGACCUUGCGCGAUUGAAUGAGCCGAUGUCGGAUUAGCUAGUUGGCGGGGUAAAGGCCCACCAAGGCGACGAUCCGUAGCUGGUCUGAGAGGAUCAUCAGCCACCCUGGAACUGAGACACGGUCCAGACUCCUACGGUAGGCAGCAGUGGGGAAUAUUGGACGAUGGGGCCAUGCGUGAUCCAGCCAUACCGCGUGGGUGAAGAAGGCCUUCGGGUUGUAAAGCCCUUUUGUUGGGAGAGAAAAGCAGCAGGUUAAUACCCCGCUGUUCUGACGGUACCCAAAGAAUAAGCACCGGCUAACUUCGUG